UAGGUGCAGCGGAUCGGCCGUAG
rnacentral:piRNA from 1 species